ACCGUGCGCCCACAAAACCGUCGGAGCCUCCGUGUGGGGUGACGGCGUGCCUAUCGAAAAAAUGAGUCUGCGAGUCAGUGGCGGGUGGCGAGCAUAAGCCGUGUGGCGUAUGCGUAGCGAAAGCGAGUCUUAAAAGGCGUUUUUAGUCGCUUGUCCUGGACCCGAAGCGGGAUUAUCUAGCCCUGGGCAGGUUGAAGCGCGGGUAAGACCGCGUGGAGGACCGAACCCACCUGGGUUGAAAACCGGGGGGAUGACCUGGGGCUAGGGGUGAAAGGCCAAUCAAAUUCCGUGAUAGCUGGUUCUCUCCGAAAUGCAUUUAGGUGCAGCGUCGGUCGAUUGCGUCGCGGGGGUAGAGCUACCGGAUGCUUGCGGGCCCUUGUUGGGUACCAACAGCAGCCGAACUCCGAAUACCGUUGACGUGUAUUCCGGCAGUGAGUCGGCGGGGGAUAAGCUCCGUCGUCGAGAGGGAGACAGCCCAGACCGUCGUCUAAGGUCCCGAAGCGUGUGCUAAGUGGGAAAGGAUGUGGAGUCGCAUAGACAGCCAGGAGGUUGG
rnacentral:rRNA from 1 species